GCGCGCGCCAGGCGGUCUCCAAGUCAGUGAUGAAAGCCUGAGCUCAACUCCAGAACUGCCAUGAAACUGUUAGACUUGAGUACGAGAGAGGUGAGUGGAAUUCCCAGUGUAGAGGUGAAAUUCGUAGAUAUUGGGAAGAACACCGGUGCGAGGCGGCUCACUGGCUCGUAACUGACGCUCAGGCGCGACAGCGUGGGGAUCAAACAGGAUUAGAUACCCUGGUAGUCCACGCCGUAAACGAUGAUUGCUAGCCGUUGGGCAGCUUGCUGUUCAGUGGCGCAGCUAACGCAUUAAGCAAUCCGCCUGGGGAGUACGGCCGCAAGGUUGAAACUCAAAGGAAUUGACGGGGGCCCGCACAAGCGGUGGAGCAUGUGGUUUAAUUCGACGCAACGCGCAGAACCUUACCAGGGUUUGACAUCCCAAGACCGCCUCGUAACGGAGGUUUCCCCGCAAGGGGCUUGGAGACAGGUGCUGCAUGGCUGUCGUCAGCUCGUGUCGUGGGAUGUUGGGUUAAGUCCCGCAACGAGCGCAACCCUCGCCUUUAGUU
rnacentral:rRNA from 1 species